UGAGUAACACGUAUCCAACCUGCCGACAACACUGGGAUAGCCUUUCGAAAGAAAGAUUAAUACCGGAUGGCAUAGUUUUCCCGCAUGGGAUAAUUAUUAAAGAAUUUCGGUUGUCGAUGGGGAUGCGUUCCAUUAGGCAGUUGGCGGGGUAACGGCCCACCAAACCUACGAUGGAUAGGGGUUCUGAGAGGAAGGUCCCCCACAUUGGAACUGAGACACGGUCCAAACUCCUACGGGAGGCAGCAGUGAGGAAUAUUGGUCAAUGGACGAGAGUCUGAACCAGCCAAGUAGCGUGAAGGAUGACUGCCCUAUGGGUUGUAAACUUCUUUUAUACGGGAAUAAAGUGAGCCACGUGUGGCUUUUUGUAUGUACCGUAUGAAUAAGGAUCGGCUAACUCCGUGCCAGCAGCCGCGGUAAUACGGAGGAUUCGAGCGUUAUCCGGAUUUAUUGGGUUUAAAGGGAGCGUAGGCGGGUUGUUAAGUCAGUUGUGAAAGUUUGCGGCUCAACCGUAAAAUUGCAGUUGAUACUGGCGACCUUGAGUGCAACAGAGGUAGGCGGAAUUCGUGGUGUAGCGGUGAAAUGCUUAAAUAUCACGAAGAACUCCGAUUGCGAAGGCAGCUUACUGGAUUGUAACUGACGCUGAUGCUCGAA
rnacentral:rRNA from 1 species